GAUGAACGCUGGCGGCGUGCUUAAUACAUGCAAGUCGAACGGAAAGGCCCUGCUCUUGCGGGGUGCUCGAGUGGCGAACAGGUGAGUAACACGUGAGUAACCUGUCCUUGACUUUGGGAUAACUUCAGGAAACUCGGGCUCAUACAGGAUAGGAGCUCCUGAUGCACAGUGGGGGUUGGAAAGUUUCGGCGGUUGUGGAUGGACUCGCGGCUUAUCAGCUUCUUGGUGGGGUAGUGGCUUACCAAGGCUUUGACGGGUAGCCGGCGUGGGAGGGUGACCGGCCACAUGGGGACUGAGAGACGGCCCAGACUCCUACGGGAGGCAGCAGUGGGGAAUAUUGCACAAUGAGCGGAAGCCUGAUGCGGCAACGCCGCGUGCGGGAUGACGGCCUUCGGGUUGUGAACCGCUUUCGCCUGUAACGAAGCGUGAGUGACGGUAAUGGGUAAGGAAGCACCGGCUAACUACGUG
rnacentral:rRNA from 1 species